GAGUUUGAUCCUGGCUCAGAUUGAACGCUGGCGGCAUGCUUUACACAUGCAAGUCGAACGGCAGCACGGGGGCAACCCUGGUGGCGAGUGGCGAACGGGUGAGUAAUAUAUCGGAACAUAUCCGGAAGUGGGGGAUAACGUAGCGAAAGUUACGCUAAUACCGCAUAUGCCCUGAGGGGGAAAGUGGGGGAUCGCAAGACCUCACGCUUUCGGAGUGGCCGAUAUCGGAUUAGCUAGUUGGUGAGGUAAAGGCUCACCAAGGCGACGAUCCGUAGCUGGUCUGAGAGGACGACCAGCCACACUGGGACUGAGACACGGCCCAGACUCCUACGGGAGGCAGCAGUGGGGAAUUUUGGACAAUGGGGGCAACCCUGAUCCAGCCAUGCCGCGUGAGUGAAGAAGGCCUUCGGGUUGUAAAGCUCUUUCGGACGGAAAGAAACGGUUACGGUUAAUACCCGUGACUAAUGACGGGACCGUAAGAAGAAGCACCGGCGAACUACGUGCCAGCCGCCAGGGUCUCACUC
rnacentral:rRNA from 1 species